UACGGGGGGGGCAAGCGUUGUUCGGAAUUACUGGGCGUAAAGGGCUCGUAGGCGGCCAACUAAGUCAGACGUGAAAUCCCUCGGCUUAACCGGGGAACUGCGUCUGAUACUGGAUGGCUUGAGUCCGGGAGAGGGAUGCAGAAUUCCAGGUGUAGCGGUGAAAUGCGUAGAUAUCUGGAGGAAUACCGGUGGCGAAGGCGGCAUCCUGGACCGGCAUUGACGCUGAGGAGCGAAAGCUAGGGGAGCAAACGGG
rnacentral:rRNA from 1 species